ACACUACUGAAGAGUCCCAUAGUAGGACGAAACGAUUGUCCAGUGC
rnacentral:hammerhead_ribozyme from 1 species